rnacentral:rRNA from 1 species
AUGAACGCUGGCGGCGUGCCUAACACAUGCAAGUCGAACGGAGCUGCUUUGAUGAAGUUUUCGGAUGGAUUUAAAGCAGCUUAGUGGCGGACGGGUGAGUAACGCGUGGGUAACCUGCCUCACACUGGGGGAUAACAGUUAGAAAUAGCUGCUAAUACCGCAUAAGCGCACAGUUCCGCAUGGAACAGUGUGAAAAACUCCGGUGGUGUGAGAUGGACCCGCGUCUGAUUAGCCAGUUGGCGGGGUAACGGCCCACCAAAGCGACGAUCAGUAGCCGGCCUGAGAGGGUGAACGGCCACAUUGGGACUGAGACACGGCCCAAACUCCUACGGGAGGCAGCAGUGGGGAAUAUUGCACAAUGGGGGAAACCCUGAUGCAGCGACGCCGCGUGAGUGAAGAAGUAUUUCGGUAUGUAAAGCUCUAUCAGCAGGGAAGAAAGUGACGGUACCUGAAUAAGAAGCCCCGGCUAACUACGUGCCAGCAGCCGCGGUAAUACGUAGGGGGCAAGCGUUAUCCGGAUUUACUGGGUGUAAAGGGAGCGUAGACGGCAAGGCAAGUCUGAAGUGAAAGCCCGGUGCUUAACGCCGGGACUGCUUUGGAAACUGUUUGGCUGGAGUGCCGGAGAGGUAAGCGGAAUUCCUAGUGUAGCGGUGAAAUGCGUAGAUAUUAGGAAGAACACCAGUGGCGAAGGCGGCUUACUGGACGGUAACUGACGUUGAGGCUCGAAAGCGUGGGGAGCAAACAGGAUUAGAUACCCUGGUAGUCCACGCCGUAAACGAUGAUUGCUAGGUGUAGGUGGGUAUGGACCCAUCGGUGCCGCAGCUAACGCAAUAAGCAAUCCACCUGGGGAGUACGUUCGCAAGAAUGAAACUCAAAGGAAUUGACGGGGGCCCGCACAAGCGGAGGAACAUGUGGUUUAAUUCGAUGAUACGCGAGGAACCUUACCCGGGCUUGAAUUGCAACUGAAUGAUGUGGAGACAUGUCAGCCGCAAGGCAGUUGUGAAGGUGCUGCAUGGUUGUCGUCAGCUCGUGUCGUGAGAUGUUGGGUUAAGUCCCGCAACGAGCGCAACCCUUAUUCUUAGUAGCCAGCAGGUAAGGCUGGGCACUCUAAGGAGACUGCCGGGGAUAACCCGGAGGAAGGUGGGGAUGACGUCAAAUCAUCAUGCCCCUUAUGAUCUGGGCUACACACGUGCUACAAUGGCGUAACAAAGGGAAGCGAGCCUGCGAGGGUGAGCAAAUCCCAAAAAUAACGUCCCAGUUCGGACUGUAGUCUGCAACCCGACUACACGAAGCUGGAAUCGCUAGUAAUCGCGAAUCAGAAUGUCGCGGUGAAUACGUUCCCGGGUCUUGUACACACCGCCCGUCACACCAUGGGAGUCGGAAAUGCCCGAAGUCUGUGACUCAACCGCAAGGAGAGAGCAGCCGAAGGCAGGUCUGAUAACUGGGGUG